rnacentral:lncRNA from 1 species
AGAGGGAGCCUCGUCCGAGUGGCAGGGCUUGCUGAUCCUUGAAGUGGGAGAGGGAUAGCCCCAUCCACCACAAUAAGUAAUAGGAAUGACAAUGAAAAGUUUGUUGGGCCAAAUUCUGUGCCCAGGGCUGCUCGUUUGUUUCUUCAUUUAGUCCUCAGCUCCCUACCGAAGGCAGCCGUCUGCUGAAACCAUAAGAAAUUGCUGAUUGCCUGUCUGAUCUUGACCCACAAAAAUGGCAAUCUCAUGUGUCAUUCGAUCUAAUAGUCCCAUUAUUCCUAUUUUGCAGAAAAUCACGGCUCAGAGAGGCUGAGCAGCCUGCAAAGGAGAGCCAGGGAUGCUGCCACCCAAGCCUGGGAGAGCCUUGGGGUGCCCAGGCUUGGGGCUGAGGGAGGCUCCUGGUCUGGGAACAGAAGUGCCCAGGGGACACUAGAGCAGAGCUAGGCUGCACCUGCCCCCUGGGGGAAGGGAGGUGGGGCCAACACUGGGGACGCAGGGCUCCCUCCUGGCGAUCCCCAGGCUGGGGGAAUUUGGUGCUGGGGAUUUUGAGCAGUUAGAGGCUGGGUAGGGGCUUUCUUGCCUUCUGGCUGGGGCCCCGUGGGAGUGGGGGAGUUGGGGCUGCAUCCAUCUGUCCAUCCAUCCAGGGAGUCUCUCCAGUGGUGGCCGUCACUGGGGCCGUCUGCAGAGCCUCUCUGGGGCAUUAAUUUAACAUGCAAAGGGGAACCCAGGGAGAGGGCAGUGCUGAACCCAGAGGGAGGGGGUGGGUGAUGGUGGCAUUUUGGGCAGACUUCAGUAUGGUUUUCUCCCCAGAGAGUGUCUUUCUAGAACGUCUUUCUAGACUCCUGGGACACUGGUGUAAUUGGCCUGUGAGGCCAACCAGCCCCAGAUGUUUCUGGGAAUUUGGAGACCUGCCCCCUGCAAGGGACUCAGAUGCUUUCCGUGGAAGGGGCCAGGGAGGGGAAGAGGCACCAAGGUCUCACUGAACCGUCGUGGUCACUCUGAACAUUCAUGCCACUUGGCAUGAGCCCUUCACUCUCCAGACUGUAAAAUCAAUACCUGGCCCAAAUAGCAACAACAAAGAGCAACAAUACCCCUUACCCCAUCCACGUGGCACCUCCUGUCUGUCUCCAGGGCGCUGCGCUUCAUUAAGCACCACACACCCAAGAGCUCAAGGGAGUCUCAUGACUAGGCAUCUGCAGGGGCUCCUCUGUUUCUCAUCUUUCAGGAAACCAAGGAAAAACAGAGAGGUUGAGUAACUUGUCCAGAGUCACACAGCUCUAAGAAGUAGAGUCACCUACUCCAGAGGCCAAGGCAGGAGGAUCAGUUGAGCCCAGGAGUUCGAGGUCAGCCUGGGCAACAUAGUGAGACCCCCAUCUCUUUAAACACAAAAAAGUGGAGUCAGAAACCAAACCGAAGGACUCUGGACCCUUGUACUCUUGGCUGCACACAUCUUACCCUCCUGAAGAAAUGUUUGCUGAGAUUACAGACUUGGUUAAAUUCAUGACAGUCCAUCUAUGCCAUGGGGCCAUUAAAAUAGUGAUUUGGAGGCCAGGCGAGGUGGCUCACACCUGUAAUCCCAGCACUUUGGGAGGCUAAGGCAGGCAGAUCAUCUGAGGUCAGGAUUUCAAGACCAGCAUGGCCAACAUGGUGAAACCCUGUCUCUGCUAAACACACAAAAAUUAGGCGGGCAUAGGCCGGGCGCGGUGGCUCACGCCUGUAAUCCCAGAACUUUGGGAUGCUGAGGUGGGCGGACCACAAGGUCAGGAGAUUGAGACCAUCCUGGCUAACACGGUGAAACCCCAUCUCUACUAAAAAUACAAAAAAUUAGCCCAGCGUGGUGGCAGGCACCUGUGGUCCCAGCUACUGGGGAGGCUGAGGCAGGAGAAUGGCGUGAACUCGGGAGGUAGAGCUUGCAGUGAGCUGAGACUGCACCACUGCACUCCAGCCUGGGCGACAGAGCAAGACCCCAUCUCAAAAAA